CGGAAUUACUGGGCGUAAAGCGCACGCAGGCGGUUKGAUAAGUUAGAUGUGAAAGCCCCGGGCUCAACCUGGGAAUUGCAUUUAAAACUGUCCAGCUAGAGUCUUGUAGAGGGGGGUAGAAUUCCAGGUGUAGCGGUGAAAUGCGUAGAGAUCUGGAGGAAUACCGGUGGCGAAGGCGGCCCCCUGGACAAAGACUGACGCUCAGGUGCGAAAGCGUGGGGAGCAAACAGGAUUAGAUACCCUGGUAGUCCACGCCGUAAACGAUGUCGAUUUGGAGGCUGUGUCCUUGAGACGUGGCUUCCGGAGCUAACGCGUUAAAUCGACCGCCUGGGGAGUACGGCCGCAAGGUUA
rnacentral:rRNA from 1 species